GUCGAGCGGCGGACGGGUGAGUAAUGCCUGGGAAAUUGCCCUCGAUGUGGGGGAUAACCAUUGGAAACGAUGGCUAAUACCGCAUAAUAGCUUCGGCUCAAAGAGGGGGACCUUCGGGCCUCUCGCGUCAGGAUAUGCCCAGGUGGGAUUAGCUAGUUGGUGAGGUAAUGGCUCACCAAGGCGACGAUCCCUAGCUGGUCUGAGAGGAUGAUCAGCCACACUGGAACUGAGACACGGUCCAGACUCCUACGGGAGGCAGCAGUGGGGAAUAUUGCACAAUGGGCGCAAGCCUGAUGCAGCCAUGCCGCGUGUAUGAAGAAGGCCUUCGGGUUGUAAAGUACUUUCAGCAGUGAGGAAGGUGGAUGCGUUAAUAGCGUAAUCAUUUGACGUUAGCUGCAGAAGAAGCACCGGCUAACUCCGUGCCAGCAGCCGCGGUAAUACGGAGGGUGCGAGCGUUAAUCGGAAUUACUGGGCGUAAAGCGCAUGCAGGUGGUUUGUUAAGUCAGAUGUGAAAGCCCGGGGCUCAACCUCGCAAUAGCAUUUGAAACUGGCAGACUAGAGUACUGUUAGGAGGGGGGGUAGAAAUUUCAAGUGUAGCGGUGAAAUGCGUAGAGAUCUGAAAGAAUAACCGGUGGCCGAAGGCGGGCCUCCUCGACAGAUACUGACACUCAGAUGCGAAAGCGUGGGGAGCAAACAGGAUUAAAUACCCUCGCUAGUCCACGCCGCAAACGAUGUCUACUUGUAGAUUGUGGCCCUCGAACCCCGGCUUUCGGAACCUAACGCGGUUAAGUAAAACCGCCCUCCCGCAGUACCGAUUCGCAAGAUUAAAACUCAAAUGAAUUGACGGGGGCCCGCACAAGCGGUGGAGCAUGUGGUUUAAUUCGAUGCAACGCGAAGAACCUUACCUACUCUUGACAUCCAGAGAACUUUCCAGAGAUGGAUUGGUGCCUUCGGGAACUCUGAGACAGGUGCUGCAUGGCUGUCGUCAGCUCGUGUUGUGAAAUGUUGGGUUAAGUCCCGCAACGAGCGCAACCCUUAUCCUUGUUUGCCAGCACUUCGGGUGGGAACUCCAGGGAGACUGCCGGUGAUAAACCGGAGGAAGGUGGGGACGACGUCAAGUCAUCAUGGCCCUUACGAGUAGGGCUACACACGUGCUACAAUGGCGCAUACAGAGGGCGGCCAACUUGCGAAAGUGAGCGAAUCCCAAAAAGUGCGUCGUAGUCCGGAUUGGAGUCUGCAACUCGACUCCAUGAAGUCGGAAUCGCUAGUAAUCGUAGAUCAGAAUGCCACGGUGAAUACGUUCCCGGGCCUUGUACACACCGCCCGUCACACCAUGGGAGUGGGCUGCAAAAGAAGUGGGUAGUUAACCUUCGGGGGACGCU
rnacentral:rRNA from 2 species